UACGAAGGGGGCUAGCGUUGCUCGGAAUUACUGGGCGUAAAGGGCGCGUAGGCGGACAGUUUAGUCAGAGGUGAAAGCCCAGGGCUCAACCUUGGAAUUGCCUUUGAUACUGGCUGUCUUGAGUACGGGAGAGGUGUGUGGAACUCCGAGUGUAGAGGUGAAAUUCGUAGAUAUUCGGAAGAACACCAGUGGCGAAGGCGACACACUGGCCCGUUACUGACGCUGAGGCUCGAAAGCGUGGGGAGCAAACAGG
rnacentral:rRNA from 1 species